UACGUAGGGGGCUAGCGUUGUCCGGAAUCAUUGGGCGUAAAGCGCGUGUAGGCGGUCCGGUAAGUCCGCUGUGAAAGUCGGGGGCUCAACCCUCGAAUGCCGGUGGAUACUGUCGGGCUCGAGUGCGGGAGAGGCGAGUGGAAUUCCUGGUGUAGCGGUGAAAUGCGCAGAUAUCAGGAGGAACACCGAUUGCGAAGGCAGCUCGCUGGAACGUUACUGACGCUGAGACGCGAAAGCGUGGGGAGCAAACAGG
rnacentral:rRNA from 1 species